AUGAACGCUGGCGGCGUGCCUCAUACCUGCAAGUCGAGCGCACGGACGAGAAGCUUGCUUCUCUGAUGUUAGCGGCGGACGGGUGAGUAACACGUGGAUAACCUACCUAUAAGACUGGGAUAACUUCGGGAAACCGGAGCUAAUACCGGAUAAUAUUUUGAACCGCAUGGUUCAAAAGUGAAAGACGGUCUUGCUGUCACUUAUAGAUGGAUCCGCGCUGCAUUAGCUAGUUGGUAAGGUAACGGCUUACCAAGGCAACGAUGCAUAGCCGACCUGAGAGGGUGAUCGGCCACACUGGAACUGAGACACGGUCCAGACUCCUACGGGAGGCAGCAGUAGGGAAUCUUCCGCAAUGGGCGAAAGCCUGACGGAGCAACGCCGCGUGAGUGAUGAAGGUCUUCGGAUCGUAAAACUCUGUUAUUAGGGAAGAACAUAUGUGUAAGUAACUGUGCACAUCCUGACGGUACCUAAUCAGAAAGCCACGGCUAACUACGUG
rnacentral:rRNA from 1 species